rnacentral:rRNA from 1 species
GACGAACGCUGGCGGCGUGCUUAACACAUGCAAGUCGAACGAAGUGGCGAACGGGUGAGUAACGCGUAAUCAACCUGCCCUUCCGAGGGGGACAACAGUUGGAAACGACUGCUAAUACCGCAUACUGAAGGAGGGGAUUGCGUCUGAUUAGCUAGUUGGAGGGGUAACGGCCCACCAAGGCGAUGAUCAGUAGCCGGGCUGAGAGGAUGAACGGCGACAUUGGGACUGAGACACGGACAAGACGCCUACGGGAGGCAGCAGUGGGGAAUCUGCCGCAAUGGACGAAAGUCUGACGGGGCAACGCCGCGGGAGUGAUGACGGCCUUCGGGUUGUAAAGCUCUGUUAAUCGGGACGCGGUACCGGAAUAGAAAGCCACGGCUAACUACGUGCCAGCAGCCGCGGUAAUUC